rnacentral:rRNA from 1 species
AUUGAACGCUGGCGGCAGGCCUAACACAUGCAAGUCGAACGAGUGGCGGACGGGUGAGUAAUGUCUGGGAAACUGCCUGAUGGAGGGGGAUAACUACUGGAAACGGUAGCUAAUACCGCAUACCAUCAGAUGUGCCCAGAUGGGAUUAGCUUGUUGGUGGGGUAACGGCUCACAAAGGCGACGAUCCCUAGCUGGUAUGAGAGGAUGACCAACCAAGCGGGAACUGAGACACGGUCCAGACUCCAACGUGAGGAAGCAUUGGGGAAUAUUGCACAAUGGGCGCAAGCCUGAUGCAGCCAUGCCGCGUGUAUGAAGAAGGGCUUCGAGUUGUAAAGUACUUUCAUCGGGGAGGCGUUACCAGCAGAAGAAGCACCGGCUAACUCCGUGCCAGCAGCCGCGGUAAUUC